GAUGAACGCUAGCUACAGGCUUAACACAUGCAAGUCGAGGGGCAGCAUGGUCUUAGCUUGCUAAGGCCGAUGGCGACCGGCGCACGGGUGAGUAACACGUAUCCAACCUGCCGUCUACUCUUGGACAGCCUUCUGAAAGGAAGAUUAAUACAAGAUGGCAUCAUGAGUCCGCAUGUUCACAUGAUUAAAGGUAUUCCGGUAGACGAUGGGGAUGCGUUCCAUUAGAUAGUAGGCGGGGUAACGGCCCACCUAGUCUUCGAUGGAUAGGGGUUCUGAGAGGAAGGUCCCCCACAUUGGAACUGAGACACGGUCCAAACUCCUACGGGAGGCAGCAGUGAGGAAUAUUGGUCAAUGGGCGAGAGCCUGAACCAGCCAAGUAGCGUGAAGGAUGACUGCCCUAUGGGUUGUAAACUUCUUUUAUAAAGGAAUAAAGUCGGGUAUGCAUACCCGUUUGCAUGUACUUUAUGAAUAAGGAUCGGCUAACUCCGUGCCAGCAGCCGCGGUAAUACGGAGGAUCCGAGCGUUAUCCGGAUUUAUUGGGUUUAAAGGGAGCGUAGAUGGAUGUUUAAGUCAGUUGUGAAAGUUUGCGGCUCAACCGUAAAAUUGCAGUUGAUACUGGAUAUCUUGAGUGCAGUUGAGGCAGGCGGAAUUCGUGGUGUAGCGGUGAAAUGCUUAGAUAUCACGAAGAACUCCGAUUGCGAAGGCAGCCUGCUAAGCUGCAACUGACAUUGAGGCUCGAAAGUGUGGGUAUCAAACAGGAUUAGAUACCCUGGUAGUCCACACGGUAAACGAUGAAUACUCGCUGUUUGCGAUAUACAGCAAGCGGCCAAGCGAAAGCGUUAAGUAUUCCACCUGGGGAGUACGCCGGCAACGGUGAAACUCAAAGGAAUUGACGGGGGCCCGCACAAGCGGAGGAACAUGUGGUUUAAUUCGAUGAUACGCGAGGACCCUUACCCGGGCUUAAAUUGCAGAUGAAUUACGGUGAAAGCCGUAAGCCGCAAGGCAUCUGUGAAGGUGCUGCAUGGUUGUCGUCAGCUCGUGCCGUGAGGUGUCGGCUUAAGUGCCAUAACGAGCGCAACCCUUGUUGUCAGUUACUAACAGGUUCCGCUGAGGACUCUGACAAGACUGCCAUCGUAAGAUGUGAGGAAGGUGGGGAUGACGUCAAAUCAGCACGGCCCUUACGUCCGGGGCUACACACGUGUUACAAUGGGGGGUACAGAGGGCCGCUACCACGCGAGUGGAUGCCAAUCCCAAAAACCUCUCUCAGUUCGGACUGGAGUCUGCAACCCGACUCCACGAAGCUGGAUUCGCUAGUAAUCGCGCAUCAGCCACGGCGCGGUGAAUACGUUCCCGGGCCU
rnacentral:rRNA from 1 species